AUGUGAGAAAAUUCAAGGAUCAUCUCUAUAGUUCAUUACUAGGGAAGUUCUCUGACUGUGUAAAGUACCAGAAACCAUGAGAUUUGGUGUAGCAUUCUCUCUUGAGCCUGAAGCUGGCUUUUGGUGUUGCUUUGCUGCAACUGCGACUGGCCAUUAAUGAUUGUUCUUGCUCUCCUUCACAAGAGUUGGAGGGAGAGGAUGUCAUGUGAGUGU
ensembl:snoRNA U3 Small nucleolar RNA U3